rnacentral:rRNA from 1 species
CCCUUAGAUGUUCUGGGCCGCACACGCGCUACACUGAAGGAGGCAGCGUGUACUCCUGGAUCGAAAGAUUUGGGUAACCCGCGAAUCUCCUUCGUGCUAGGGAUUGAGGUUUGCAAUUAUCCUUCAUGAACGAGGAAUUCCCAGUAAGUGCAAGUCAUAAGCUUGCGCUGACUACGUCCCUGCCCUUUGUACACACCGCCCGUCGCACCUACCGAUUGAAUGGUCCGGUGAAGCCUCCGGAUUGGCGCGCACCUCGGUGCCGCCGAGAAGUUGGCUAAACCUUACCAUUUAGAGGAAGGUGAAGUCGUAACA